GCCAGCAGCCGCGGUAAUACGUAGGUGGCAAGCGUUGUCCGGAAUUAUUGGGCGUAAAGCGCGCGCAGGCGGUCUUUUAAGUCUGAUGUGAAAGCCCACGGCUCAACCGUGGAGGGUCAUUGGAAACUGGAGGACUUGAGUGCAGAAGAGGAGAGUGGAAUUCCACGUGUAGCGGAUGAAAUGCGUAGAUAUGUGGAGGAACACCAGUGGCGAAGGCGGCUCUCUGGUCUGUAACUGACGCUGAGGCGCGAAAGCGUGGGGAGCAAACAGGAUUAGAUACCCUGGUAGUCCACGCCGUAAACGAUGAGUGCUAGGUGUUGGGGGGUUCCACCCUCAGUGCUGAAGUUAACACAUUAAGCACUCCGCCUGGGGAGUACGACCGCAAGGUUGAAACUCAAAGGAAUUGACGGGGGCCCGCACAAGCAGUGGAGCAUGUGGUUUAAUUCGAAGCAACGCGAAGAACCUUACCAGGUCUUGACAUCCUCUGACAAUCCUGGAGACAGGACGUUCCCCUUCGGGGGACAGAGUGACAGGUGGUGCAUGGUUGUCGUCAGCUCGUGUCGUGAGAUGUUGGGUUAAGUCCCGCAACGAGCGCAACCCUUGAUCUUAGUUGCCAGCAUUUAGUUGGGCACUCUAAGGUGACUGCCGGUGACAAACCGGAGGAAGGUGGGGAUGACGUCAAAUCAUCAUGCCCCUUAUGACCUGGGCUACACACGUGCUACAAUGGACGGUACAAAGGGCAG
rnacentral:rRNA from 2 species